AAAGGUUUGUGCAAUGGAACUAGACUCAUAGUGACACAACUCACUCAUCGUAUAAUUGAAGCUCAGAUAAUCACAGGAAAGGCUACAGGAUCUAAAGCUUACAUUCCAAGAAUAACUUCUGUCUCAUGUGAUCCAAAAUGGCCUUUUAAGAUAAAGCGUCGUCAAUUCCCAGUCCGUGUAUCCUAUGCCAUGACAAUAAACAAAAGCCAAGGACAAACACUUAGCAAAGUUGGCGUCUAUUUACCAAGCCCCGUAUUCUCUCAUGGGCAGCUUUAUGUUGCAUUCUCACGUGUGACAUCACCUACAGGCUUACGUGUGCUCAUUGAGAACAACUCUGAGAGGUAUGAAAACCACACACAUAACGUGGUAUACACUGAGAUUUUCAAUGACCUAACAAGCCGGCGUAAUUAUUAGUUCCAGGUCUUCUACUUUUGGCUGUUUCCAUUCCAAACCACUUGAUCAUCUAUUCCUCCGUUGAUCAAUUAUAUUCUACCAAUAUGCUUAUAGCCAGUCUAACAUGUAUAUCCAAUCAGGUCAUAGGUGUUUCCAAUUCACCAUAUGACAUACUUUAGCCGUGUAUGUUUUUUUCAAUGCAGCAACAAUGGAAAUAUGUCUCUUCUGCUUUUGUGUCACCAAAUAUUAAACUUCUGGUGACCAUGUAAAAUUUAAUACGAUCAACCAUGACGUCCACAAAUAAUACCGACUAAAAGGUUUCGUGAUUC